AGCUGUAUACAUACUAUUUUCAAGUUAUCAUCUUCUUAGAUCUCAGUUGAUAAACAGGAUCGAGCCUGGUUAGUACGUGACUGAGAAACCUCCAAGGAGAACCUAGGUACUGUUU
rnacentral:rRNA from 1 species